CAACUUACCUGGCAGGGGAGAUACCAUGAUCACGAAGGUAGGUGGUUUUGCCAGGGUGAGGCUUAUCCACUGCACUCUGGAUGUGCUGACCACUGCGAUGUCCCCAAAUGUGGGAAACUUGACGGCAUCAUUUGUGGUAGUGGGGUACUGUGCUCAUGCUCGCCCCUG